UGGAGCAGACCCUGCCGUACCUGGUCGGUGGGACCCCAGCCCCGGCUGCCCUGUGCCGGCCCGCUGGAGAGACCUGAGGCCCUCUGCAGUGAAAGGACACAUUGGAGGCCCGGAAAUUGUCUUUUGACGCUCACGUGUGUUAUGGAACUGCCGGCUGCAGAAUAACGACCCCGUUUUGCUCCAGACCGUCCCAUCUUCCUAGGGGCUGGGGCAGGGAAAUGGCUG